rnacentral:rRNA from 1 species
AUAGCGUAUAUUAAAGUUGUUGCAGUUAAAAAGCUCGUAGUUGGAUUUCAAGGGUCGCACCGGGGAUAACUCGCGUGCCCCCUACCAGUCAUAGACUGUUACUGUGAGAAAAUUAGAGUGUUUCAAGCAGGCUGUUGCAGGAAUACAUUAGCAUGGAAUAACGAAUGUGUCUAGAAUCUUGGUUAAUUCUAGAUUACGAUUAAUAGGGACAGUUGGGGGCAUUAGUAUUUAAUUGUCAGAGGUGAAAUUCUUGGAUUUGUUAAAGACUAACGUAUG